rnacentral:rRNA from 1 species
UAGGGAAUCUUCCACAAUGGACGCAAGUCUGAUGGAGCAACGCCGCGUGAGUGAAGAAGGUUUUCGGACCGUAAAGCUCUGUUGUUGGUGAAGAAGGAUAGAGGUAGUAACUGGCCUUUAUUUGACGGUAAUCAACCAGAAAGUCACGGCUAACUACGUGCCAGCAGCCGCGGUAAUACGUAGGUGGCAAGCGUUGUCCGGAUUUAUUGGGCGUAAAGCGAGCGCAGGCGGAAGAAUAAGUCUGAUGUGAAAGCCCUCGGCUUAACCGAGGAAAUUGCAUCGGAAACUGUUUUUCUUGAGUGCAGAAGAGGAGAGUAGAACUCCAUGUGUAGCGGUGGAAUGCGUAGAUAUAUGGAAGAAUACCAGUGGCGAAGGCGGCUCUCUGGUCUGCAACUGACGCUGAGGCUCGAAAGCAUGGGUAGCGAACAGGAUUAGAUACCCUGGUAGUCCAUGCCGUAAAACGAUGAGUGCUAAGUGUUGGGAGGCUUCCGCCUCUCAGUGC